UUGGAGGGCAAGUCUGGUGCCAGCAGCCGCGGUAAUUCCAGCUCCAAUAGCGUAUAUUAAAGUUGUUGCAGUUAAAAAGCUCGUAGUUGAAUUUCGGGAUCAGUACGCCGGUCGUGCCUUCGGUAUGCACUGGUGUCACUGGUUUCUCCCUUCUGAAGAACCAUCAUGCCAUUAAGUUGGUGUGGCGGGGAAUCAGGACUGUUACUUUGAAAAAAUUAGAGUGUUUAAAGCAGGCUCGCGCUUGAAUACAUUAGCAUGGAAUAAUGAAAUAGGACGUUUGACCCUAUUUUGUUGGUUUCUAGGAUCGACGUAAUGAUUAAUAGGGAUAGUUGGGGGCAUUAGUAUUCAAUUGUCAGAGGUGAAAUUCUUGGAUUUAUUGAAGACUAACUACUGCGAAAGCAUUUGCCAAGGAUGUUUUCAUUAAUCAAGAACGAAAGUUAGGGGAUCGAAGACGAUCAGAUACCGUCGUAGUCUUAACCAUAAACUAUGCCGACUAGGGAUCGGAUGAUGUUAAUUUUUUAAUGACUCAUUCGGCACCUUACGGGAAAC
rnacentral:rRNA from 1 species